CCUAUUGGAUGACAAUUUUCACAUCUCCCGCUUCCCCCUCCAAAGAGUUCUACUUGUCCAAUUCUGAAAAGGAACGUUAUGAAAAAGAAUUCAGCCAAGAAAGACAACAAGAAAUUUUGAGAAGAGCAGCAAGAGCUUUACCUAUCUAUACCACAUCAGCUUCAAAAACUAUCAGAUAUUGUGAAAAAUGUCAGCUGAUUAAACCUGAUCGGGCGCAUCACUGCUCAGCCUGUGACUCAUGUAUUCUUAAGAUGGAUCAUCACUGUCCUUGGGUGAAUAACUGUGUGGGAUUUUCUAAUUACAAAUUCUUCCUGCUGUUUUUAUUGUAUUCCCUAUUAUAUUGCCUUUUCGUGGCUGCAACAGUUUUAGAGUACUUUAUAAAAUUUUGGACGAAUGAACUGACAGAUACACGUGCAAAAUUCCACGUACUUUUUCUUUUCUUUGUGUCUGCAAUGUUCUUCAUCAGCGUCCUCUCACUUUUCAGCUACCACUGCUGGCUAGUUGGAAAAAAUAGAACAACAAUAGAAUCAUUCCGCGCACCCACGUUUUCAUACGGACCUGAUGGAAAUGGUUUCUCUCUUGGAUGCAGUAAAAAUUGGAGACAAGUCUUUGGUGAUGAAAAGAAAUAUUGGCUACUUCCAAUAUUUUCAAGCUUGGGUGAUGGUUGCAGUUUUCCAACUCGCCUUGUGGGGAUGGAUCCAGAACAAGCUUCUGUUACAAACCAGAAUGAGUAUGCCAGAAGUAGUGGCUCAAAUCAACCUUUUCCUAUCAAACCACUUAGUGAAUCAAAAAACCGCUUGUUGGACAGUGAAUCUCAGUGGCUGGAGAAUGGAGCUGAAGAAGGCAUCGUCAAAUCAGGUGUAUGAAAACAUUAUAGACUGGUAUUUUCAAUUUUCAUUUGCAAGAAAAUGAUCAGUGGAAUGAAAUAACUGAAGUAUAACAGAAGAUAUAUUUUUUAAAACGGAAAGCCUUUGUACAGUUCCUGGGAUUCACAG
rnacentral:lncRNA from 1 species